rnacentral:rRNA from 1 species
UACGUAGGGCGCAAACGUUGCUCGGAAUCAUUGGGCGUAAAGCGCACGUAGGCGGUUCGUUAUGUCGGAUGUGAAAGCCCUUGGCUUAACCGAGGAAGUGCAUCCGAAACUGGCGAGCUAGAGUACUAAAGAGGAUCGCGGAAUUCCCGGUGUAGAGGUGAAAUUCGUAGAUAUCGGGAGGAACACCGGUGGCGAAGGCGGCGAUCUGGGUAGAUACUGACGCUGAGGUGCGAAAGCGUGGGGAGCAAACAGG